CAAGGAAGGCAGCAGGCGCGCAAAUUACCCACUCCCGGCACGGGGAGGUAGUGACGAAAAAUAACGAUACGGGACUCAUCCGAGGCCCCGUAAUCGGAAUGAGUACACUUUAAAUCCUUUAACGAGGAUCAAUUGGAGGGCAAGUCUGGUGCCAGCAGCCGCGGUAAUUCCAGCUCCAAUAGCGUAUAUUAAAGUUGUUGCGGUUAAAAAGCUCGUAGUCGAAUCUGUGUCGUGCGCCGCCGGUUCAUCGCUCGCGGUGUCAACUGGCGUGUCGCAGGACGUCCUGCCGGUGGACUUAGUCGCGUCUCGCGUCGUCUUCGGGCGGCGCGGGCGCGGCGGUCCAACUUCAACAAUCCCACCGCGGUGCUCUUCGCUGAGUGUCGAGGUGGGCCGGCACGUUUACUUUGAACAAAUUAGAGUGCUUAAAGCAGGCUAAAAUUUCGCCUGAAUACUGUGUGCAUGGAAUAAUGGAAUAGGACCUCGGUUCUAUUUUGUUAGUUUUCGGAACCCCGAGGUAAUGAUUAAUAGGAACGGAUGGGGGCAUUCGUAUUGCGACGUUAGAGGUGAAAUUCUUGGAUCGUCGCAAGACGGACUUAAGCGAAAGCAUUUGCCAAAAACGUUUUCAUUGAUCAAGAACGAAAGUUAGAGGUUCGAAGGCGAUCAGAUACCGCCCUAGUUCUAACCAUAAACGAUGCCAGCUAGCGAUCCGCCGACGUUCCUCCGAUGACUCGGCGGGCAGCUUCCGGGAAACCAAAGCUUUUGGGUUCCGGGGGAAGU
rnacentral:rRNA from 1 species